rnacentral:rRNA from 1 species
GACGAACGCUGGCGGCGUGCCUAAUACAUGCAAGUCGAACGCAUUUUCUUUCACUGUAGCUUGCUACACCGACAGAAAAUGAGUUGCGAACGGGUGAGUAACACGUUGGUAACCUGUCCAUCAGCGGGGGAUAACACUUGGAAACAGGUGCUAAUACCGCGUAAUUCCAUUUACUGCAUGGUAGAUGGGUGAAAGGCGCCUUUGCGCCACUGAUGGAUGUAGCCGCGGUGCAGUAGAUCGAUGGGGGGGUAAGGGCCUAGCAAGGCUGCGAUGCAUAACCGGCCCUGGAAGGUUAUCCGCCCACCAGGGACUGGGACAACGCCCAGACUCCUAACGGAGGCAGCAGGAGGGGAACUUCGGCAAUAGACGCAAGGCUGACCGCAGAACGCCGCGGUAGUGAAGAAGGUUUUCGGAUCGUAAAACUCUGUUGUUAGAGAAGAAAAAGGAUGAGGGUGGAAAGUUCAUCCCUUGACGGUAUCUAACCAGAAAGCCACGGCUAACUACGUG